GCUGCAACUCGCCUGCAUGAAGCUGGAAUCGCUAGUAAUCGCGGGUCAGCAUACCGCGGUGAAUGUGUUCCUGAGCCUUGUACACACCGCCCGUCAAGCCACGAAAGUGGGGGGCAUCCGAAGUCGCUGCGGUAACCGUAAGGAGCCAGGCGCCGAAGAUGAACUCUGCGAUUGGGACUAAGUCGUAACAAGGUAGCCGUAGGGGAACCUGCGGCUGGAUCACCUCCUUUCUAAGGA
rnacentral:rRNA from 1 species